GAUAUUUGGGGCGAUGGAGUUCGCCAUUAACCCCGUGUCGAACGGUGAUGACUCCUACCAGGUG
rnacentral:ncRNA from 1 species